CUGGAACUGGCAGAAACGGUUCGUGAAUUUAUUCAUUUAAUAUUCUGAUUUUGUAUUGAGCGGAAUAGUCUAGUGUUGAAGUUUCUGAUGAACAUGAAAAAGCGGAAUUCUUUUAGAUAUAUAUGUUCCUGACGACCAAGGUACGAAAUAUGGCAAUUUCCAGAUUCAGCAAGAAAACUGAGCUGCUCGAGAGUAGAUUUGUUCAAAUUAAGGCCCUAAUGCUGUUCUAUAGAAGGUGAAUGAUGCAGAAAAGGAGAGGGCGUUGAGCUGCUGGAAAACCGAGCGUCUCCAAAUUAAGGGUUCAUAGCUGUCCCUGAGGAGGUCUCUAAAGAGAUGAACCUCAGAGAUGAGUUGCUUGGACUACGUGAUGGCAAUGGGUAUUGGGUAUUGACAAUUGUGGAAACGUCCACACUGAAGGUCAUUGUUCUGCCAAGAAACGGU